GAUGAACGCUGGCGGCGUGCCUAAUACAUGCAAGUCGAGCGAACAGACGAGGAGCUUGCUCCUCUGACGUUAGCGGCGGACGGGUGAGUAACACUUGGAUAACCUACCUAUAAGACUGUUAUAACUUCGGGAAACCUGAGCUAAUACCGGAUAAUAUAUUGAACCGCAUGGUUCAAUAGUGAAAUACGGUUUUUCUGUCACUUAUAGAUGGAUCCGCGCCGCAUUAGCUAGUUGGUAAGGUAACGGCUUACCAAGGCAACGAUGCGUAGCCGACCUGAGAGGGUGAUCGGCCACACUGGAAGUGAGACACGGUCCAGACUCCUACGGGAGGAAGCAGUAGGGAAUCUUCCGCAAUGGGCGAAAGCCUGACGGAGCAACGCCGCGUGAGUGAUGAAGGUCUUCGGAUCGUAAAACUCUGUUAUUAGGGAAGAACAAAUGUGUAAGUAACUAUGCACGUCUUGACGGUACCUAAUCAGAAAGCCACGGCUAACUACGUG
rnacentral:rRNA from 1 species